UACGUAGGAGGCAAGCGUUAUCCGGAAUGACUGGGCGUAAAGGGUGCGUAGGUGGUUUGAUAAGUUGGUAGCGUAAUUCCGAGGCUCAACCUCGGCGCUACUACCAAAACUGGCGGGCUAGAGAGCAGGAGAGGGCGGUGGAACUCCAUGUGUAGCGGUAAAAUGCGUAGAUAUAUGGAAGAACACCAGUGGCGAAGGCGGCCGCCUGGCCUGUUAACUGACGCUGAGGCACGAAAGCGUGGGGAGCAAAUAGG
rnacentral:rRNA from 1 species